ACCCACGAACUCAACAAGGCCCUUUCAAAUCCUUCAAUAAAGGAAGGUCUGUUUGAUGAUACAGGAGGUUAUCCAGAUAUGGUGUCAUUUCAAAAGGUUCCUGCCUCUUUCAGCUGCCUGAUGAUUAAAAAUUUUCCAAAAUCGGUGUUCGUAUCCUCUCUGGCUGCCCAAAGAUUGAAACCUUUCCAGAUAAAGGGUCUGCCUUCCUCCCUUCUGCAAAUUACAUAUCUUUGAAACACUUCUGCUAGAAAAAAAAA